UACGGGGGGGCAAGCGUUGUUCGGAAUUACUGGGCGUAAAGGGCUCGUAGGUGGCCAACUAAGUCAUACGUGAAAUCCCUCGGCUUAACCGGGGAACUGCGUCUGAUACUGGAUGGCUUGAGGUUGGGAGAGGGAUGCGGAAUUCCAGGUGUAGCGGUGAAAUGCGUAGAUAUCUGGAGGAACACCGGUGGCGAAGGCGGCAUCCUGGACCAAUUCUGACACUGAGGAGCGAAAGCCAGGGGAGCAAACGGGG
rnacentral:rRNA from 1 species